rnacentral:lncRNA from 1 species
UGGCACUCGGGUUUAACAAAUCUCGUAUUUCCCACACUAGUCGCAGAAGUAGUCUGAGAUUUAGGACCCACAUUUUGCUUCUUAAAAUUUCCAUAUGAUUGCCCAGUUGAAACUUGGGAACGAGGAUUCAUAUUUCUUGACUUUCCGGUUUGCUGUGAAGGUGCCUUACUCAUUGGCCUUUUCUUCCAAUUUCGUGUUUCAGAUUCUACCUUUUUCUUUUCCUUCAGUAGUUCUUCAGCCUUGCAAGCUCGAUCAACCAGUACUACCAUUUCUUUUAGUUCAAGGAUCCCGACAAAUACUUUAAUUUCUU